rnacentral:rRNA from 1 species
AUGCAUACGGCCGGCAGGCACCGCGACUGGGCGACAAAUGGCGCAUUAGACUUUUUCAAACAUCACCGAUCAUCGACAAAGUCGGAAGAUCCUCUGGACGCCCGCCUGCCCUGCCUACCCAAGAUCCCGGGCUCCCAGUCCUGUCACAUGCAUGGGCGUUCGGGGAGGCUAGGCUGUGUACAUCUGUACUGA